rnacentral:rRNA from 1 species
CCGUCCCACGACUUGAAACUCAAAGGAAUUAGACGGGGACCCGCGACAAGCGGUGGAUGAUGUGGAUUAAUUCGAUGCAACGCGAAGAACCUUACCUGGUCUUGACAUGUACGGAACCCUCCAGAGACGGAGGGGUGCCUUCGGGAGCCGUAACACAGGUGCUGCAUGGCUGUCGUCAGCUCGUGUCGUGAGAUGUUGGGUUAAGUCCCGCAACGAGCGCAACCCUUGUCAUUAGUUGCCAUCAUUAAGUUGGGCACUCUAAUGAGACUGCCGGUGACAAGCCGGAGGAAGGUGGGGAUGACGUCAAGUCCUCAUGGCCCUUAUGACCAGGGCUUCACACGUCAUACAAUGGUCGGUACAGAGGGUAGCCAAGCCGCGAGGUGGAGCCAAUCUCACAAAACCGAUCGUAGUCCGGAUUGCACUCUGCAACUCGAGUGCAUGAAGUCGGAAUCGCUAGUAAUCGCAGGUCAGCAUACUGCGGUGAAUACGUUCCCGGGUCUUGUACACACGUCGACGCGGCCG